AGGUGCAUUACUGGGCAAUGACUUAUUUGGCAGUUGAAUUGACCAUUCAGGCCAUGAACCAGAGAAGCUAUGUUUACCGCCAAAGAAGAUUUGCCCGGCAAUUCAUCC
rnacentral:pre_miRNA from 1 species